AGGUGCGAUCAUACCAGAACUAAUGCAACGAAUCCCAUCUGAACUCUGCAGGCAAGCGUGCCUGCGCGAGAGUAGUACUAGAAUGGGUGACCUAUUGGGAAGUACUCUUGUUGCCCUUC
rnacentral:rRNA from 1 species